UGUCCUAAAUGAUAAUGUCCUAAACAAUAGCCUGAGUUGUUUUUUAGAGAUUUGGAGUCAGUUGUGUCUAGUCUGAGCUAAACUGGUUAAGAUUGAAAUUAAACAUGCAGAAGCCUACAGAUUAGUUAUGCCUGUGCAGAACCAUGAUUACACACCUUUCCUAAUCACCUUUCCCCAUGGUCCCCACGUUCCCCACACUCCCUAUGUAUAUAAGCGUCAGAACGUCUUCCUUCUUUCUCUUUAUUCCAUAGAUAGCCCUUUACCUUUGGGAUGCCAGUUGGCAAAAGGAACCUGGUUCAGGAAUAUCGUCUCUGAACCAGUGAGUAAUGCUAAGAUUUACCAGCUUCAUUCUGUCAAAAAGUUGAGCCUGUCGUCAGCCUUCAGUGUUUUCCUAUAAAGCCCUGAGACUCGUGAUGGCCUCCAGAGUCCUUGUGGGAAAAGCAUCUGUCACAUCUGAUGGUCUUUCUGUCUACUCCAGUGAAGGCCCAGUUCAGCACUCAGUUCAAGACUGACUGCUAACCAGGUACUAACCAGCAGGCUUGAAUUGAAUUAGACUGUGAGAUGCUGUACACUGCGGGAAUUGAGUCAGGUGGACAGAUGUCUUUCUCAGCUCUGCUCAUCUUGUUCUUAUUGCAUCUUUGAUUACUGCAACAGGCGUUACUCUUGGGACAUUCUCCAAGGAGCCUUCAUUCUCCACAUCACAACUGGGUGCCGGGGCCCAGUGGGACUCUGAAUUCGGAUGAUCUUGGUUGAGGCAAUGUAAGACAUUUUCACUGUUUGCACUACAGCAUUCAUUAAAUUUUUGGCUGCUU